rnacentral:rRNA from 1 species
UACGGGGGGGGCAAGCGUUGUUCGGAAUUACUGGGCGUAAAGGGCUCGUAGGCGGCCAACUAAGUCAGACGUGAAAUCCCUCGGCUUAACCGGGGAACUGCGUCUGAUACUGGAUGGCUUGAGAUUGGGAGAGGGAUGCGGAAUUCCAGGUGUAGCGGUGAAAUGCGUAGAUAUCUGGAGGAACACCGGUGGCGAAGGCGGCAUCCUGGACCAACACUGACGCUGAGGAACGAAAGCUAGGGGAGCAAACAGG